CGCGGGGUGGAGCAGCCCGGUAGCUAUUCAGGCUCAUAACCUGAAGGUCACAGGUUCAAAUCCUGUCCCCGUAACCA
rnacentral:tRNA from 1 species